rnacentral:tRNA from 1 species
GGCAACUUGGCCGAGCGGUCUAAGGCGCCAGACUCAAGAUACCGGUUCGUUAAAGAACUUGCGUCUUCCCUGUUGUACCAGGGAGCAUUCUGGUCUCGAAAGAGGCGUGAGUUCGAAUCUCACAGUUGUCA